rnacentral:rRNA from 1 species
CAUAGGUUAAUGAGGCGAACCGGGGGAACUGAAACAUCUAAGUACCCCGAGGAAAAGAAAUCAACCGAGAUUCCCCCAGUAGCGGCGAGCGAACGGGGAGCAGCCCAGAGCCUGAAUCAGUGUGUGUGUUAGUGGAAGCGUCUGGAAAGGCGCGCGAUACAGGGUGACAGCCCCGUACACAAAAAUGCACAUACUGUGAGCUCGAUGAGUAGGGCGGGACACGUGGUAUCCUGUCUGAAUAUGGGGGGACCAUCCUCCAAGGCUAAAUACUCCUGACUGACCGAUAGUGAACCAGUACCGUGAGGGAAAGGCGAAAAGAACCCCGGCGAGGGGAGUGAAAAAGAACCUGAAACCGUGUACGUACAAGCAGUGGGAGCACGCUUAGGCGUGUGACUGCGUACCUUUUGUAUAAUGGGUCAGCGACUUAUAUUCUGUAGCAAGGUUAACCGAAUAGGGGAGCCGAAGGGAAACCGAGUCUUAACUGGGCGUUAAGUUGCAGGGUAUAGACCCGAAACCCGGUGAUCUAGCCAUGGGCAGGUUGAAGGUUGGGUAACACUAACUGGAGGACCGAACCGACUAAUGUUGAAAAAUUAGCGGAUGACUUGUGGCUGGGGGUGAAAGGCCAAUCAAACCGGGAGAUAGCUGGUUCUCCCCGAAAGCUAUUUAGGUAGCGCCUCGUGAAUUCAUCUCCGGGGGUAGAGCACUGUUUCGGCAAGGGGGUCAUCCCGACUUACCAACCCGAUGCAAACUGCGAAUACCGGAGAAUGUUAUCACGGGAGACACACGGCGGGUGCUAACGUCCGUCGUGAAGAGGGAAACAACCCAGACCGCCAGCUAAGGUCCCAAAGUCAUGGUUAAGUGGGAAACGAUGUGGGAAGGCCCAGACAGCCAGGAUGUUGGCUUAGAAGCAGCCAUCAUUUAAAGAAAGCGUAAUAGCUCACUGGUCGAGUCGGCCUGCGCGGAAGAUGUAACGGGGCUAAACCAUGCACCGAAGCUGCGGCAGCGACGCUGAUGCGUUGUUGGGUAGGGGAGCGUUCUGUAAGCCUGUGAAGGUGUGCUGUGAGGCAUGCUGGAGGUAUCAGAAGUGCGAAUGCUGACAUAAGUAACGAUAAAGCGGGUGAAAAGCCCGCUCGCCGGAAGACCAAGGGUUCCUGUCCAACGUUAAUCGGGGCAGGGUGAGUCGACCCCUAAGGCGAGGCCGAAAGGCGUAGUCGAUGGGAAACAGGUUAAUAUUCCUGUACUUGGUGUUACUGCGAAGGGGGGACGGAGAAGGCUAUGUUGGCCGGGCGACGGUUGUCCCGGUUUAAGCGUGUAGGCUGGUUUUCCAGGCAAAUCCGGAAAAC